rnacentral:rRNA from 1 species
AGGGAAUAUUGCGCAAUGGACGGAAGUCUGACGCAGCGACGCCGCGUGAGCGAUGAAGGUCUUCGGAUCGUAAAGCUCUGUCCUUGGGGAAGAAGGCGAAAGCUUGACGGUACCCAAGAAGAAAGCCCCGGCUAACUACGUGCCAGCAGCCGCGGUAAUACGUAGGGGGCGAGCGUUGUCCGGAGUUACUGGGCGUAAAGCGCGCGCAGGCGGUUUGGUACGUCGGGUGUGAAAGCCCCCCGCUCAACGGGGGAGGGUCAUUCGAAACGGCUGAACUGGAGGCAGGGAGAGGUCGGUGGAAUUCCCGGUGUAGUGGUGAAAUGCGUAGAUAUCGGGAGGAACACCAGUGGCGAAGGCGGCCGACUGGACCUGACCUGACGCUGAGGCGCGAAGGCGUGGGGAGCGAACG